GAUGAACGCUAGCUACAGGCUUAACACAUGCCAGUCGAGGGACCGGCGCACGGGUGAGUAACACGUAUCCAACCUGCCCUUUACUCGGGGAUAGCCUUUCGAAAGAAAGAUUAAUACCCGAUAUAAAGGAUGGGGAUGCGUUCCUUUAGGUUGUUGGUGAGGUAACGGUUCACCAAGCCUUCGAUGGCUAGGGGUUCUGGUAGGAAGGUCCCCCACAUUGGAACUGAGACACGGUCCAAACUGGUACGGGAGGCAGCAGUGAGGAAUAUUGGUGAAUGAGCGCUAGCCUGAACCAGCCAAGUAGCGUGAAGGAUGAAGGCGUAUGGGGAGUAAACUUCUUUGAUAUAAGAAUAUGUAUUAUAUGAAUAAGGAUCGGCUAACUCCGUGCCAGCAGCCGCGGUAAUUC
rnacentral:rRNA from 1 species